UGGGGAAUAUUGCACAAUGGGCGCAAGCCUGAUGCAGCCAUGCCGCGUGUAUGAAGAAGGCCUUCGGGUUGUAAAGUACUUUCAGCGGGGAGGAAGGCGUUAAGGUUAAUAACCUUGGCGAUUGACGUUACCCGCAGAAGAAGCACCGGCUAACUCCGUGCCAGCAGCCGCGGUAAUACGGAGGGUGCAAGCGUUAAUCGGAAUUACUGGGCGUAAAGCGCACGCAGGCGGUCUGUCAAGUCGGAUGUGAAAUCCCCGGGCUCAACCUGGGAACUGCAUUCGAAACUGGCAGGCUAGAGUCUUGUAGAGGGGGGUAGAAUUCCAGGUGUAGCGGUGAAAUGCGUAGAGAUGUGGAGGAAUACCGGUGGCGAAGGCGGCCCCCUGGACAAAGACUGACGCUCAGGUGCGAAAGCGUGGGGAGCAAACAGG
rnacentral:rRNA from 1 species